AAGAAAGAAAUAAGGAUUGACUGG
rnacentral:piRNA from 1 species